rnacentral:rRNA from 1 species
UACGAAGGGUGCUAGCGUUGUUCGGAAUCACUGGGCGUAAAGCGUGCGUAGGCGGCUUUCCAAGUCAGGGGUGAAGUCCUGGGGCUCAACCCCAGAAUUGCCUUUGAAACUGGAAAGCUAGAGUAUCGGAGGGGAUAGCGGAAUUCCUAAUGUAGAGGUGAAAUUCGUAGAUAUUAGGAGGAACACCGGUGGCGAAGGCGGCUAUCUGGACGAUUACUGACGCUCUGGCACGAAAGUGUGGGGAGCGAACAGG